AUUCCCAGUGGGUCAGAAGUUCACAUACACUCUGGAUUUCUGGAAUUUUGGCCCAUUCCUCCUGACAGAACUGGUGUAACUGAGUCAGGUUUGUAGGCCUCCUGGCUUGCACAUGCCUUUUCAGUUCUGCCCACA